UACAGAGGUGGCGAGCGUUGUUCGGAUUUACUGGGCGUAAAGGGCGCGUAGGGGGCCAUGUGUGUCGACCGUGAAAUCUCCGGGCUCAACCCGGAAAGUGCGGUCGAAACUGCGUGGCUCGAGCAGAGGAUGGGAAAGCGGAACUCAGGGUGUAGCGGUGAAAUGCGUUGAUAUCCUGAAGAACACCGGGCGAAGGCGGCUUUCUGGAAUCUUGCUGACUCUGAGGCGCGAAAGUAGGGGGAGCAAACAG
rnacentral:rRNA from 1 species